ACAGAAGUCUUCUGUUUAUUUACAGAAUAGACAUAGCACAGAAGUUUCUCAGGCAAAGUCGACAGUUACCCAGUGGAUCUUUUAACCUCUGCCUUGGUUUGGAAGGACCUCUAGGGGUGAGAGGGUAAUUCAGU
rnacentral:sRNA from 1 species